GAUGAACGCUGACAGAAUGCUUAACACAUGCAAGUCAACUUGGACUUCGGUUUGGGUGGCGGACGGGUGAGUAACGCGUAAAGAACUUGCCUCACAGAUAGGGACAACAUUUGGAAACGAAUGCUAAUACCUGAUAUUAUGAUUUUAGGGCAUCCUAGAAUUAUGAAAGCUAUAUGCGCUGUGAGAGAGCUUUGCGUCCCAUUAGCUAGUUGGAGAGGUAACGGCUCACCAAGGCGAUGAUGGGUAGCCGGCCUGAGAGGGUGAUCGGCCACAAGGGGACUGAGACACGGCCCUUACUCCUACGGGAGGCAGCAGUGGGGAAUAUUGGACAAUGGACCAAGAGUCUGAUCCAGCAAUUCUGUGUGCACGAUGAAGUUUUUCGGAAUGUAAAGUGCUUUCAGUUGGGAAGAAAAAAAUGACGGUACCAACAGAAGAAGUGACGGCUAAAUACGUGCCAGCAGCCGCGGUAAUACGUAUGUCACAAGCGUUAUCCGGAUUUAUUGGGCGUAAGGCGCGUCUAGGUGGUUAUAUAAGUCUGAUGUGGAAAUGCAGGGCUCAACUCUGUAUUGCGUUGGAAACUGUGUAACUAGAGUACUGGAGAGGUAAGCGGAACUACAAGUGUAGAGGUGAAAUUCGUAGAUAUUUGUAGGAAUGCCGAUGGGGAAGCCAGCUUACUGGACAGAUACUGACGCUGAAGCGCGAAAGCGUGGGUAGCAAACAGG
rnacentral:rRNA from 1 species